UAGACAACGAAUGGACAUGGUCCACCAGUGAUAGAAGAUUACGAACAAAGGGAAAAGCGGAAAUCAUGUGCCACCGCGUAAAUCAUCCGUGAAUACGCUGCAUCGCGUCUAAUUACACGGGACACUUACUUUCCUCUGAUCCUGAACAUGAGAAAUUCACGAGUUAAUGUCAAAAAUUAAUAGUACCAUUAAACAUUUCCAUAGUUAAACAAGGACAGCUAGAUGUUUAAAAGAUAUUUAUUUUAAAGAUUUCCGAAAUAAAUUAUUAAUUUUCUUACUAUUAUCAGCUACAUAACAUUAAAGAUUAUUCGAAGGUUAACUACCAAGAAUAAUGUAAAUAGAUUACUAAUUUUUGUAUUAUUAUUGACUAUAUUUAAUAUAAAAUAUAUGUUUUGAGGUUAAUUGUAUCGGGAAUAAUGAAAGUAGUAAAUUUAAAAAAUGUUUCUAUUAUUGGAACGUUUAUAAAUAUUUCAUAGGUAUAAUCUAUUAGAACACCCGGUACAUGACUGACCAGAUGUAGACACGAAGAAUUGAAACGGUAAGAACAGCUGCGGUUCCAAACGCGAGCUGUUAUUGUUUUUCUGACUCAUGAGUGGCAAUAACGGAAUGUCAACAGAAGUGUCGCUUCUGUUCAACUGCGAACUAUUUUCCGACGUACUUUCAAAGCAACUGUGUUUGACAGCCUUUAAGAAGAACCAUUAUUUCACAGUAUAUUACCGAUCAGCGAUAUCUAUAGUAGACAGUAAAGAGUUACGUGUUCUGCGAAAUACAAAUCCCCCUACAAGUUAAGAAAUUAUUGACAGAAGAAGAAAGAUAUGAAUUUGAAAGAUAGGAAAGAUAGAAAUGACAUAACCUAUUGCUCGACGGAAGCUUUAAAUUGAAAUUAUAACGUACAAUUUUUAAUUUAUUUGUAACAAUAAGUAAUGAUUUUUGCCGACGAUAUUUUUAAAAAAUACAAACGGAUCAAUAUUGUAGAAAAUAAUUUAUAUCCGACUGAAAGAGCAUUUGCUGAAUCCCGAAGUUCAGUCUGAAGAGUGGGGUUCAGCUGUAAUAGGGGUAGGGGGUUCAUGGUGUUCCAUGAAUUUUGUGCGCAUGCAUCCGUAAUCCGUGUGCAUUGCGUCUGUACGUGUUUGUGCGUUUGUGUGUGUGUGUGUGUGUGUGUGUGUGGGAGGGGAUGUAGAAAAUACGGGUGUGGUUCGAUCAAUACGAACAUCCCAUGGAUCCGUCGGUGCGUGCCUCACACAGGUAUACGUUUGUUUGAGGUGAUUCACCUCAAAUUGCGACUGUCUAUAAAAGUUAUUUCAGUUUAAAAUCCUACCUUUAACUCCUUAUCAUUACGUAAAAUAUAUAUCUUCGAGAAUUAACAAAUCUUUAAGAUAAAGUUGCAACGCUCAGUACCUGCUAUACUCGAAUAUCGAUAAUAGUAAUAAUAUUGACAGAAGUUAAUUUUUCUAAUAACUAUUGUAGCUAUUAUAUAUUGUAUUGGGAUUAGUAGAAGAAGAAAUUAUCAACAACUUUAUUAUUACAAAGGAAGAAAUGUAACGAACAGAUGUUCGACAGAGUUAUUUUUAAACCUAACCUAUAGGACGUGUUUGUGUGGAUCUCGCGCAGAAAAAUCGUCAGUAAAACCCGACGGAAAUGAGGCUUGCACGGAGAAGAGAUUACGGUAUAUCGACUGUUGAAUGGUAUCCGUUCAGUUUCCCAUAGCCUCGAUAUUAAGACCUCGUUAAUGUGAUAAAGCCGGUUAGUCAGAUAUAAUGGCGCCUUUCAUUAAGCACGUUGAGAGGUUGCUUGGUAAAGUUGGUGUACAAAUACCGAAUAUAUAUAUAUUCCUAUCGUGUAAUCUAAUAUACGUUUUGUCUUGUGUAUUGUGAGACAUAAAGUGAGUUAUGCCCACGACUAAUUUCGAGGUUUCAUUUGAACAGCAAAAUUAAGUGUUCUUAUAAGUACUUAAACGUAUUAAGGCGAGUACACAUUGGCAUAACUUUCCUUCACUAUUUUAUACAUAUAUCAUAAUAUGUAUAUAUACAUAAAAGUUAUAAAAGUUUUCUUUACUUAAACAUUUGAGGGCUUUAUCUUACUAAGUCAACCUAACAUUCUGACAUUUCUCAAUUAACAAAAAUUGUAUAUGUUUAGUUUUAUCAUUAAACGCAUACAAUCCUAA